UUAUAAAUACACAUCAGCAAUAUAGAACUGAGGGCAGACCUCAGCAUGUUUAAUAAAUAAAGCCUGGUGUCCCUAUGAUGAAUAACAUGACAACUCACAAAUACUGGUCGUGGAUCGGCGUGUUCUCCGUUUCGAUUCUCUUCUGGUGCCAGCUUCUCUGGCUGGCCUUCACCUGAAUCCUGAAACCUCGCUCCGGCGGGGUUUUUUAUU
rnacentral:sRNA from 1 species